UAUUGCCAAGGGAUUGUGGCCGUGUAUUAUUUUCCCUACUUUGUGGAUAAGAAACUGAGGCACAGAGGGGUUAAGUAGCUGGCCAAUCACACAGUGAGAGAGAGCCAGGUAGGGACCCCCAUUCGUGGGACCCCAGCCACCGCGGGGCACCUCCUUAUGAAUGAAGGUCCCGGAUGCCGAGUUUCUUUAUUUACAAAGCGGGAUUGUAACUCCCGCUUCCUGAAAGACUUGGGGAGAUCAAAUGAAAUAACACAUACGAAACACCUGGUACAAUGGCCUUCAGUAAACGGUGCUUCUGGACAUUGGCUACAAGAGCAUCCGGCCGGAGAACCUUAGAGAGGGAAUAGUCUUAGCCAGACACGAGCAUGCGCGGUGGAAAGAUCAGUUAGCGUAGCUCUUAGUUAGACGCACGUUCACAACAGAUAUUUGGUUUUUGGUUUUAAAAUAAGAAAAUAACACUCAAAGUAGGGAUCUCGCAAGGAAAGGAAGGAGGAUUUUGUUGCCUGGAUGAUCUGCCUGCUGAGUGACAUUUUAUUUCUGCUUCAUCAGGUGGCAAAGGACCAUUAAAAAAAAUGGAGGAACGGUUUCUACAGUUUAUUUCUCCAAUUUUUAGGAUUCUAUCUUGGCAAUUUCCUGGCAGGCUCCCCUCUGUGAUUCACCUGCUUUCUGCUGUCUGCGUGGGUCCUAAGCACAUGCUUCCCCAAAGGUCUGGAACUGGAAAAAGAUCACUCUCUGACUCAUGGUAACCAGGAGGCACUUUCCUGGAGUGAAGCAGUUCCUUGCCAGGCGGCUUUAUGAGAUACUUGCUAGAUGCUUAUGGCGGUAGGAGAUUUAAUUCACGCUGCCCCCUUCUGUGAUUUCUCACCACAUACCCUUCCUAAGGCUUCCUCCGCUGGGGGAGAGAAGGGACCGGUCCUCCGUGUGGAUUGGUCCCCUGACGCUUGUCCACUCAGCCCCCUUUUCCAGGGGUCCGGAGGCAAUGGGACAUCCGUGGGCGUUUCCGGUCACCUCCCUGCGGAAUGUUCUCUAACCCCUCACCCAUGCCGUCCCUCGCCUUUCACCUGCCCACCCCUGCUCCCGCCUCCUUAACACGCACAGAAACACUCAUCUGCGUGGCUCCGUCUGCUUCUUCCUCGAGUCUCACGGGAAACAUGGCUUCUUCUAGGAUGUUGCCCCUGACUAUUCACCUCGGCUCUGCAUUCGAGGCCCUGUUUGUUCUCCUGGGACCCUUGCUUGAAUUCGCCAGAACCAGCUUCUGUUGCUUGCAUGAGAAAACUCAAACUGUCCUCCUUAUGGGGCGUGGCAUUCACUACUGCAACUACCCAUUCACCCGCUAGAUGGUAACAGGAGAACAACCUUCCUCCUUGCGCGCAUUAAUUGGGAGAAUCCAGGCAAAAUGCAAAGGCUGGUGCGUAGCACAUGAUAAGUCCCUGAUAAACGACAGUGAUGAUGAGUGGGAAGAUGAGGACGAUAAGAGUCGUGAGCUGGGAGCCAGCCUAGAGUCCUGUCCCGAAACCACUGCAUCAGCACAAAUAUCUCCGUUUAGGGGAAGAAAAGACAGCGUCGGCUACCGUGACCCUUGUACAUUUUGCGUGAGAACAAGGAAACACGCAGGGGUUGGGACCCUCGGGCAGAAACCCUCCAGAGCUGCGAGGUUCCGGAGUGAAACUUUGCCCUGUGCCCCAGGCCCCGGGGAAGGCCAAGGAAACUGACAAGGGAAGUGGAGAGUCUUGCUCGAGCCCAGGACCGGCUCCUAACGUCCCCAUUUUCUGAGUUUCAUUUAAUGUUUAGGAUCAUCUGGGGCCCAGCCUGUUAGAAAGGGGAGGACGGUGGAAAUUACUCAAGGGCUGCCCGUGACUGGAUGACUCCGACUGCCUCACCUCGUGGCAAGAGCGGGAGUGCGAGAGGAGGAGGGAGAGGCUCGCCCGCCCGGGUACAAAGCUUCCUCCCAGCCUGCCGAGCCUUCCAGCUUCCUUGUCAGCGCUGCCAUUGAUAUUGAAAUCAAGGGGUUGGCACAGAGCUCGUGGCGCCCUGGCAGAAUGCCAGCCUGGCUCUAAUGAGCCUCACCUGGGCUAAUUACAUUUUGUACAAACCCCGCCGCUGGAGAGUCGUCCGGAAAGAUGGCAACCGGGAUUUCUCAGCUCUGAGAUUUCUUCCUGUCCGCCGGCGCUUGGAGCUCCAGAGGGCCGGGAAGUGACCCGAGGGACCCUGGCUCCUUCCUUGUGGGGCCACGUGGCAGUUACCUUAUUUGUUCCCGAGCGUAAAAGUAAGCUGUCAAGUCAGAGGCGGUCCUCAGCCGGGCGACUCCAGAGAGGGGCCCGCCUGCCAUCGUGUUAUAAAUACGGGACCUUAGGCCUCACCGCAGACUCACGGAAUCAGAAUCUGUGCUUUUGACAAGAUCCCCAGGUGAUGGGCGCGUACAGUCAAGCGUGAGAAACCCCAAUCUAGACCUUCCGCCUGGGGGGAGAACAGGGCCCAGCGAAACUGGGCCAUCCCCAACAGUACCGAACAUACAGGGCAUCUAGAGGCCUUGGUUCAGAGGGGUGGGGGUUGCUCCGCUCUUCCAUUUGUCACUUGUAUGAUUUGGGCCGGGGAGUUAACCUCUUUGGACCUCAGUUUCCUUGUCUGCAAAAUGGGCAUAAGUUUAUUUUCCAUGACAUAGAUGAUCGUGAGGAUUACAGGCUGGAAUAUUUAUGGGCUUCGUAGUGGGGUAGUUGAGACACAGCAAGGACUAAAGAUAUUCUUUGUCAUUGUUGUCGAUGUUAUGAAGGAAUCGCUGGCCCCCAGGGAAAACUCAAAUUCUCACUCGGUCCUUUACCGGCUAUCACGUCUGUAAAAUGGAAUAACAGUAUCCAUCGCUUAUGGUUUGUGUGAGCGUUAAAAGAGAUACCAGAGGGGCCCCUGGGUGGCUCAGUUGGUCGAGCCUCCAACAGUUGGCUUCUGCUCAGGUCACGAUCUCACGGUUCGUGGGCUUGAGCCCUGCAUUGGCUCCGUGCUGAUGGUGCAGAACCUACUUGAGAUUCUCUCUCUCUCCCUCCCUCUCUGUCCCUUCGCUACUCUCUCUCUCUCUCUCUCUCUCUGAAAAUAAAUAAAUAAACCUAAAAAAAGGAGAUAUUAGAGUAUACCUGACCAGUACCCCUUGAAACUGCCAAGGUCAGCAAAUACAGAAAAAGUCUGAGAAGCUGUCAGAGCCAAGAGGAACCAAAGCAGACAUGAUGAACUAAACGUGAGGGGGUAUCCUGGAUGGGAACCUGGGGCCGGCAAAACUAAGGAAAUGUGAAUCAAGUAUGGAUGUUAGUUAAUAACAAUGUGCCAAUAUUGACUCAUUAGUUGUGACAAAUGUACCAUACUCACGUAAGAUGUUAGGAAUAGGGGACGCUGGGUUCAGGGCACAUGGGAAGUCACGCUAUUAGUUUCUCUGGAUUUUUUUCUGUAAUUCUAAAACUGUCCUGAGAAGUCAAGUAUAUUUAAAAAUGAACGAGAUAGUACGUGAAAAGCCUCAGCCAAGGUCACCAACUUGCCCCCCUUCACCAAGGACUAUCCCAGCGUUGGGGCUGGAAGUCCCAGGAAGCUGCUCCGUCGUGGGCAGACCAGGACAGCUGGUCACCGUUCCCUGAGCGCAGAGCCUGGCACAGCUCGGGACCCCAGUCAUCCUUACCCCUCACACACUUGUUGCCUGGCGGUCAGCUCAGCCGGUGGUCCGGAAGGCUGGUAACUGGCGGUGGGAGAGGACUACCCGAGAAGUUCUGAUUUCUUAUCUCCCUCUUGAGAGGGGAGCAAACCAGGGUGGGGAAUUCACUCGUUGACCCGACAAAUAGUGACACUAUGUGUCAGAGACUGUGCCCUGCCCUGGGUUUGGAGGAGCUGGAGACACACAGGUGCAUAAGGCCCCGACGGGAGGGCCUGUAGUCUCACAGCAGAUCUAAAGCUUGCACAACAACAACACAAGCACCACAACAAACAAGCCUGCCGGGCAGGUAUGAUCACCCUCAAUUUCUUCCGACCAGGAAAUGAAGGUUCCGAGAGGCCAGACGGCUUGCCCAAGCUGAUACAGAGUCAGGACCUACCCCACACCUGUCCAUGUCCCAAGUGCUGUGUUUUUGCCAUUACCCCACAGCUGCCUCGCAGGGGUCUGCAGGACAGGGGAGA